AAAUGGAGGCUGCUGAAUUGAAUAGCGUGCCAGCUCCAAAAACUAGCUCAGGAAUGCAACUUCUUGCACCCAGAAAUUUAUGGGUACUGAAGUUGAGGGGAUCAGCCUGUAUACCUUAAUUUUUUAACAAUGGUGGAUGUAGGCUCAAAAACUGCCAGCUCAAAACCCUUCAGACAGCAGCUUAGUCAUUCUUUUUUCUGCCCAUUUUUUUUUGCUGCAGAUUGAGUGGCUGCCUCUCCCGUGCUUUACUAGAUGUCUCUCAAAAUCCUGCUUGGUAGAAGCUCUCUACCUUAUCUACCUCCACCUUGUCAGUCAUAGCAGCAUGCUGCCUCAGUGAGAUGUGUGUGGCCUAGAAGGAUUUUUCUUGUUUACUGGAGGAUGGAAAAAAAAUUAAUAAAUAAACUUUCAUUGUACGGUUUUCCUCACACAUUUGCAAGAUUUAGGCCAUAUUCCAGUUUUCAAAUGUUUUUUGGCCAGUGAGCUAGGUGGAGUAAAGACCCUUGUCCAGACAUGUUUGUAAGCGUGGUAAGUUUGAGGCCCCUAUAAAAAGGGGUGCCCAACAAUAAACCUUGGCUGUUGCUGCAUGAA